GUAGGCCUCAUGGAACUAUCACGAAGAGAGCACCAGAGUCCCAGGAUAGCCACGCGCUGCAUCUGCCUCUUGUCCAAGUCGUCGCCGCCAUGAAGCCUUCCAUCUGCAGCCUCCACGACCUUGCCUUUUAUGUACAGCUCCCAGACUUGCUCCCUGGACUUCCCUGUGCAUACAAUGUCUAGCAGGACGAUGCCGAAGCUAUAGAC
rnacentral:rRNA from 1 species